GACAGAGGUGCCAAGGCGUUAGGCGGAAUUACUGGGCGUAAAGCGUGUGUAGGCGGUCCGCUAAGUCGGGUGUGAAAGCCCUGGGCUCAACCCAGGAAGUGCACUCGAAACUGGCGGGCUAGAGUAUCGGAGAGGGUUGGUGGAAUUCUCGGUGUAGAGGUGAAAUUCGUAGAUAUCGAGAGGAACACCGGUGGCGAAGGCGGCCAACUGGACGAAUACUGAC
rnacentral:rRNA from 1 species